rnacentral:rRNA from 1 species
UACGGAGGAUCCAAGCGUUAUCCGGAAUCAUUGGGUUUAAAGGGUCCGUAGGUGGACGGUUAAGUCAGAGGUGAAAUCCUGCAGCUCAACUGUAGAAUUGCCUUUGAUACUGGUCGUCUUGAAUCAUUGUGAAGUGGUUAGAAUAUGUAGUGUAGCGGUGAAAUGCAUAGAUAUUACAUAGAAUACCGAUUGCGAAGGCAGAUCACUAACAAUGUAUUGACACUGAUGGACGAAAGCGUGGGGAGCGAACAGGAUUAGAUACCCUGGUAGUCCACGCCGUAAACGAUGGAUACUAGCUGUCCGGCGCAAGCUGGGUGGCUAAGCGAAAGUGAUAAGUAUCCCACCUGGGGAGUACGUUCGCAAGAAUGAA